GUGACAGAGGACUCCCUAGGCGGCCUCAACUACAUGCGCCUGGUGAUCAAGGAGGUGCUCCGGCUGCACCCUCCGGCGCCGCUGCUGCUUCCGCGGGAGUGCAUGAACGACUGUCAGGUCUUGGGCUUCGACGUGCCCAAGGGGACCAUGGUGCUCGUCAACGCCUGGGCCAUCAGCAGAGACCCUGCCCACUGGGACGCCGCCGAGGAGUUCAUACCGGAGAGGUUCGAGCGCGGCGAGAUCGACUUCAAGGGGGCGGACAUGGAGUACACGCCGUUCGGGGCGGGCCGGCGGAUGUGCCCCGGGAUGUCGUUCGGCUUGGCCAACGUUGAGCUCGCUCUCGCCGGGCUGCUGUACCAUUUCGACUGGGAACCGCCGGGAGGGGCGGAGGCCGGGGAGCUCGACAUGACGGAGGAGAUGGGAGUCACCGUGAGGCUGCGUCGUGACCUUCUGCUUGUUCCGGUGGUCCGAGUGCCCUUACCACUAGACUAG
rnacentral:rRNA from 1 species